rnacentral:rRNA from 1 species
UACGAAGGGGGGCUAGCGUUGCUCGGAAUCACUGGGCGUAAAGCGCGCGUAGGCGGUUACUUAAGUCGGGAUGUGAAAGCCCUCGGCUUAACUGAGGAAGUGCAUCCGAAACUGAGUAGCUAGAGUACGAAAGAGGGUCGCGGAAUUCCCGGUGUAGAGGUGAAAUUCGUAGAUAUCGGGAGGAACACCGGUGGCGAAGGCGGCGACCUGGGUCGAGAC